GGCUGUAUAGUGUAGUGGUUUAGCACUCGGGAUUUUGACUCUGUGCAACCUUCCCGCAACCCCGGUUCGAACCCGGGUACGGCCU
rnacentral:tRNA from 1 species